rnacentral:ribozyme from 1 species
AAAGGAAAGAAGAGAAAAUGCAUAAAUUAAAGCAAUUAACAGACUGCGAACCACCGUUUGCUUCUUUUUUUUUUUUUUUUUCUUUUUUUUUUCUUUUUUUGUUUUCUUU